rnacentral:rRNA from 1 species
AACGAACGCUGGCGGCAGGCCUAACACAUGCAAGUCGAACGCUCCGCAAGGGGGAGUGGCGCACGGGUGAGUAACACGUGGGAACCUACCUUCUGGUGCGGAACAACCAAGGGAAACUCUGGCUGAUACCGUAUACGACCUCCGGGUGAAAGAUUGAUCGCCGGAAGAGGGGCCCGCGUCCGAUUAGGUAGUUGGUGAGGUAACGGCUCACCAAGCCUGCGAUCGGUAGCUGGUCUGAGAGGAUGACCAGCCACACUGGGACUGAGACACGGCCCAGACUCCUACGGGAGGCAGCAGUGGGGAAUAUUGGACAAUGGGCGCAAGCCUGAUCCAGCCAUGCCGCGUGAGUGAUG